rnacentral:rRNA from 1 species
CUCCAGACUCCUACGGGAGGCAGCAGUGGGGAAUAUUGCACAAUGGGGGAAACCCUGAUGCAGCGACGCCGCGUGAGUGAAGAAGUAUUUCGGUACGUAAAGCUCUAUCAGCAGGGAAGAAAAAAAGUCCUUUGGACUUUGGACGGUACCUGACUAAGAAGCCCCGGCUAACUACGUGCCAGCAGCCGCGGUAAUACGUAGGGGGCAAGCGUUAUCCGGAUUUACUGGGUGUAAAGGGCGUGUAGCCGGGCUGACAAGUCAGAUGUGAAAUCCGGGGGCUCAACCCCCGAACUGCAUUUGAAACUGUUGGUCUUGAGUAUCGGAGAGGCAGGCGGAAUUCCUAGUGUAGCGGUGAAAUGCGUAGAUAUUAGGAGGAACACCAGUGGCGAAGGCGGCCUGCUGGACGACAACUGACGGUGAGGCGCGAAAGCGUGGGGAGCAAACAGGAUUAGAUACCCUGGUAAC